CGGAGAUUCUCUUGGAACCAAGAAUCUCAUCUCUGGAGAAAUUCUAGUUAUUUACGUUACACAGUUCUGAUGAUGAUGAUGUCAUGCGCCUUCCUCAGUGAGCUAAAACGGUGUUGAAAUCCUCAGAUACCAGCCCAAACCCCUAAUCAGUAACUCACUCUCACUAACUCUCAAGAACAGCUAAGGAACUUUCAUUGAACUGCCCUCCUGAUGAAUAGGGCUUCUCUGGUGGCUCAGACAGUAAAGAAUCUGCCUGCAACGUGGAAGACCUGGGUUGGGAAGAUUCCCCUGGAGAAGGGAGUGGCUACCUACUCCAGUGUUCUUCCCUGGGGAAUUUCAAGGACAAGAGGAGCCUGGCAGGCUAUAGUCCAUGCGGUCGUAAAGAGACAGACACAACUGAGCAAAGAAGUUAAGGACAUGAAGCCGGAUUAUGUGGUGAUGAACAUGGUGUUGAAUCUGGCAGCUGCACCUCACCAAACAUGACAUGGCAGAGUUGAAAGGAAUGUUUUCAGCCUGUGCACACAGCAUAGCUGAACGUCAGAGCUGUUGAUGAAGUGUGGAGUUAUCUUACUGACUCUUGGAGACCAGAAGGUUUUGGGUGGCCAAGGAAAUCUUCAAAAUCAUCAUCUUGUAUCAAGACCAUCACCUUCAAACACUGUAGAAUCCAAGGGACUCCAGGCCAUGGCUGUUUUGUUCAACUUUGAUCCAGUGCCUAACCAGACCAGACACAAAACUGACCUUCAAUACAGAGCCAGAGACUGGAAAGGAAAAGUCAGAAGAUAUCAGACACCCAUGGGAGGCCUGGCGUUGACAGUGGCUGGUAGACAUGGGACCCCAGUAGAGUUAAGGUCACAUACUGCCCACAGGCUGGGAUCCGGAGAUACAUAUGCUGCUUUCAUGCUUUUUAAGGGCACUGAGUCUGGAGAUGAAAGGUAGCCACGUGGAAACUCAUUACUUCAGGGAGAAAAAGGGGCUGGAGAGGACUGCUGGGGACCUUGAUGAAGCUGCUUGGGCAAAGAAGCCCUUCUAAUUAAACCAGAUGCCUGACUGAAUUGCCACAGUCAAAGUGUGUCGACUGUCACUACCCCCUCCACACACUUGAGAUAUGUGGCCGUGGGCUCGGGAGCCUGGGCGUGACCACCGCUGGCGAGGAGCAGAGAGCUCGCGUUAUUUCACCUCAGAGUCUGAACUUGU
ensembl:lncRNA